UAAGAACUAAGCCUUCAUGACUUACCCAAGACAGACACUGACGUUGGAGAGGACAAUCGUCCUUUUGUUUUCACCUGGGCCACAGGCACAUUGUCACUGUGGUAAGCACCUCGACAGGUCUCCAGAAUUACCUAAAAGGUGUUCAUAUAUCACGAGUGGAAAAAGACAACUGGCCUUUCCUCUGAAAAGCCUGGGCAAGUCAUUAAAACGGGAACAACAGCCCAUCACAUACAACUCAGGUAACCACCAAGGAAUGUUAAGAGAAGCUUCCAGAAAGCACAAAAUUAAGUUUGGGGAGAAAAAAAAGAAAGGACAAAAAAAAGAAUUGCGAGUUGUAAACGAAGCACAAUGUGCCCUCUGGGUUUUUCAGCAGCAACAGCAGCUGUCUUCCCUGCUUGGUUUGGUUUACUGUGGUGGCGGAUUCUUGGGAGAAACUUUAUAGCCGACGCACAGUGAAAAGCCAAGGCACCUCCGGCGAGGUCUUAAACACUCUAUCUGCCCCGUCUUGUUUCUUUGGCCAGCCCCCCCCCCCCCCCCCCCCAGGUGGGAGAGGCAGAGAGUCACCCAGGACUACCUCCAGACGGGAGCCCAGGAGCUGCAGGGCCCUAUCAGGACGACGGGGGAGGUUUUGGUGAGCGUUGGCGGCAGGGCGAUGUCGGAGACCAAAAUGUGGAGUGUGGAGGGGUCAGUCAGAUAGAGACUGCAGAAUUUGGAGGAGAGGAUUUUAGAAAUGUCUUCCUGUGGAAGGACCAAGUGAAGUGAUUUUUCUAGUAUUCAUGCAAGAACUACAAAGUGCACACACACACACGCAAACACCAAAAAAGCUGAAGAACAAUAAGAGCUACAGGGGGGAAAAAACUAAACAAAAAAAAACUUUCGUUCCCAGACAUUGACCCUUUUACAGAAGGUCAGACACUGCAAAGCUUCCACCAGCUACUUCAAUGAACAAACACACACACACACACACACACACACACACACACACACACACACACACACACACACACACACACACA
ensembl:lncRNA